rnacentral:rRNA from 1 species
UGGGGAAUAUUGCACAAUGGACGGAAGUCUGAUGCAGCAACGCCGCGUGCGGGAUGAGGGCCUUCGGGUUGUAAACCGCUUUUUCUCAUGACGAAGUUUUUUGACGGUAGUGGGGGAAGAAGCACCGGCUAACUACGUGCCAGCAGCCGCGGUGAUACGGAGGGUGCGAGCGUUGUCCGGAAUUAUUGGGCGUAAAGAGCUUGUAGGCGGUUUGUCGCGUCGAUAGUGCAAACUCAGUGCUUAACGCUGAGCCUGCUGUUGAUACGGGCAGACUAGAGGAAGGUAGGGGAGAAUGGAACUCCCGGUGGAGCGGUGGAAUGCGCAGAUAUCGGGAGGAACACCGGUGGCGAAGGCGGUUCUCUGGGCCUUUCCUGACGCUGAGAAGCGAAAGCGUGGGGAGCGAACAGG